UCUUGUAGGUACAGCUUUGAUGAAUGCAAUCCUAAUUCUAGCCUUGUGUCUAUUGAUCCUCGGAUGUCGGCCAUAUACGUGGAAACAACUGGCCUUGUGGGGAAUGAUGGUCCAAGGGAGAAGCUUGUCAAUUUGUUGACAGAUACCGAGGAGAAUCUCAAGGUGGUGUCUAUAUUGGGAUUUGGGGGACUGGGUAAAACUACACUUGCAAAAGAGGUGUAUAAUCAAAUCUGGGGGAAAUUUGACUGUAAAGCCUUUGUUCCCGUAUCACAAAAGCCUAAUAUGGUAGGGCUUCUCAAUCGACUACAACUAAAACUUGGGAUGGAGGGGUCUUCUCAGUCUUGUGUGGUGGAUGACAUCAUUGACGACCUCAGAGAAUAUCUCAUAGAGAACAGGUACCUUGUUGUAAUUGAUGACUUGUGGGACCAGUCAAAAUGGUAUACAAUCAGUCGUGCCUUUCCUGAAAAUGCUAAUGGGAGUAGAGUAAUAGUAACCACACGGGUAGAAGAUGUGGCUUGUGGAGCAUGUUACAGUCGCCCUGAAUGCAUUUAUAGAAUGAAGCCCCUGGAUGAGAAAGACUCAAAAAAGUUGUUUUUCCGUAGAGUAUAUGGGUCCGAAGAUGAUCAUCCGUCCCAACUUGAAGAAAUCUCGACUGAAAUUUUGAAGAAGUGUGGUGGACUCCCACUUGCAAUCAUUACUAUAGCUAGCUUAUUAGCUAGUCGUCCGGAAAGGUUAAGGGAUGAGUGGGAGAUCAUUAGGAACUCUCUUGGAACCCAGUUUGCGGUAAAUCCCACAUUGGAAGGGAUGCGGAGUAUAUUAAACCUCAGCUACAUUCAUCUUCCUGUUCAUCUUCGGGCAUGUUUUAUGCACCUUGGUAUAUAUCCAGAAGACAGCGAGAUUGAGAGGGAUGAUUUGGUUCGGCAAUGGUUAGCUGAAAGAUUUGUUAGUAAUUUGCAUGGGCAAGACAUGGAAGUUGUUGCAAAGAGCUAUUUCAAUGAGCUUGUCAACAGAAGCUUGAUUCAGCCUCAAUAUACUGACUAUGGGGAGUUGUUAUCGUGCAGAGUACAUGAUAUGAUGCUCGAUUUGAUCCAAAGCAAGUGUGGAGAGCAUAAUUUUGUCAGAUUUGUAUGCAAUUCUGAAGACAUGAAAAAAGAGCAUGGUUGGAAGUACAAAGUCCGUCGUAUAUCCAUGAAUUUAAGUGCUGGUGAUGCAAGAGAUGAGACAACAUCCGGGACCAUCCCUUUUAGCAUGUCACAAGUUCGAUCACUUGCACACUUUGGAGGAUCCAAAUACAUGCCCCAUCUUUUGCAUUUCAAGUAUCUGAGGGUGAUUAGAAUCUCGGGCGAACUAUUCGAUACUACUGUCGAUCUCACUGCUAUUAGCCAAUUGUGCCUACUGAGAUAUUUAAAGGUUUCUGUCAAACGAUACAUAAGCCUCCCUACUGAAAUGCAAGGGCUUGUGCAUUUGGAGACACUGGAUUUGGAUUGCAAAUUGCGAAAACUCCCAUCAGAUAUAGUUCACUUACACUGUUUAUCCCACUUGAUAGUUCCAUACAAGACAGAGCUGCCUAAAGGGGUUAGGAACAUGAAAUCACUUUGCACUCUGGAUGGCUUUGAACUACGGCAUCGACAGUUGGAAGAUAUUGAGGGACUCGCUGAGCUGACCAAUCUGAGGUGCCUGAGGCUCUUUGGUGUCUCGAGCAUAAGGGAAGAAGAGGUUGUUGCUUUGGCAUCCUCCAUUGGGAUGUUGCAUGACCUCACAUAUCUCCAGAUCGAUGGUAGUUUCUUUGAUACGAGCAACCUGCUGGGCUCUUUAUCAGAUCCUUCUCAUCAUAUCAAGGUACUUAUAAUUAAUGAGUGGAGAUGCCUAGAGUUCCUAAAUGGAUUUGUGGUCUCCAAUGCCUCUCCUGGCUAG
rnacentral:rRNA from 1 species